GGGUUUCCGCCCUUCAGUGCUGCAGCUAACGCAUUAAGUAAUCCGCCUGGGGAGUACGACCGCAAGGUUGAAACUCAAAAGAAUUGACGGGGGCCCGCACAAGCGGUGGAGCAUGUGGUUUAAUUGGAAGCUACGCGAAGAACCUUACCAGGUCUUGACAUCUUCUGACAGUCUAAGAGAUUAGAGGUUCCCUUCGGGGACAGAAUGACAGGUGGUGCAUGGUUGUCGUCAGCUCGUGUCGUGAGAUGUUGGGUUAAGUCCCGCAACGAGCGCAACCCUUAUUACUAGUUGCCAGCAUUAAGUUGGGCACUCUAGUGAGACUGCCGGUGACAAACCGGAGGAAGGUGGGGACGACGUCAAAUCAUCAUGCCCCUUAUGACCUGGGCUACACACGUGCUACAAUGGAUGGUACAACGAGUCGCGAGACCGCGAGGUUAAGCUAAUCUCUUAAAACCAUUCUCAGUUCGGACUGUAGGCUGCAACUCGCCUACACGAAGUCGGAAUCGCUAGUAAUCGCGGAUCAGCAUGCCGCGGUGAAUACGUUCCCGGUUGUUUUACACACCGCCAGUCUUAACCAUGAGAUUUCUAACUCUCAGUAGU
rnacentral:rRNA from 1 species